rnacentral:tRNA from 1 species
GGGCCCAUAGCUUAGUCUGGUGGAGUGCCUGACUGAUAAUCAGGUGGUCGGCGGUUCAAAUCCGCCUGGGCCCA